rnacentral:rRNA from 1 species
UACGUAGGGGGCAAGCGUUGUCCGGAAUUAUUGGGCGUAAAGAGCGCGUAGGCGGUCCGAUAAGUCGGCUGUGAAAGUCAGGGGCUCAACCCUUGAAAGCCGGCCGAUACUGUCGGACUAGAGUCCGGAAGAGGCAAGUGGAAUUCCCGGUGUAGCGGUGAAAUGCGCAGAUAUCGGGAGGAACACCAAUGGCGAAGGCAGCUUGCUGGGACGGUACUGACGCUGAGGCACGAAAGCGUGGGGAGCAAACAGG